rnacentral:rRNA from 1 species
AGAGUCCCGCCUGCCCUGUGACGUAACAGUUUAACGGCCGCGGUAUUUUGACCGUGCGAAGGUAGCGUAAUCACUUGUCUUUUAAAUGAAGACCGGUAUGAAUGGCAUAACGAGGGCUAAGCUGUCUCCUUUUUCCAGUCAAUGAAAUUGAUCUGCCCGUGCAGAAGCGGGCAUACAACCAUAAGACGAGAAGACCCUAUGGAGCUUUAGACACCAGGAUAACUCACGUUAAACUCCUCCAUAAAGAGCAUCAAACUAAAUGACCCCUUAUCCCACUGUCUUUGGUUGGGGCGACCGCGGGGCAACAACAACCCCCCACGUGGAACGGAACAUCCCUCCUAAAAACAGAGCCACAGCUCUAACAUACAGAACUUCUGACCAACAAGAUCCGGCACUACCGAUCAACGGACCGAGUUACCCUAGGGAUAACAGCGCAAUCCCCUUUUAGAGCCCAUAUCGACAAGGGGGUUUACGACCUCGAUGUUGGAUCAGGACAUCCUAAUGGUGCAGCCGCUAUUAAGGGUUCGUUUGUUCAACGAUUAAAGUCCUACGUGAUCUGAGUCAAGACCGGAG